AAGAUAGAAAGAAAAAAGUCCAGAAGUGGUGGCAUUCUCUACAGUCCCAGGAGGUAGAGGAAGCAGGAUAGUCACGAGUUCAAGGCCAGCCUUAGCUACAAACAGGGUGUAAGCUUAGCCUGGUCUACAUGGAAUCUCCCCCCACCUCCAUAUGGGGCUGUGAUGUGCUGUGAGGUGUCUAUGUGUGUGGGCUCUGAAGGGAACUUUGUCAAUGACAACCUCCUGUCACAAUGUCAAAGGCUGGAUGGCUCUGCCAAGGCACACGGUGCACAUAUACGACCCCUGGCCCACUCUUGCCUACUCCUAUGGACUUAUAUACCCUGUACACUUUCUCUGCAAUGCAAAACUUCUUGGCAUUUAUCAAUAAAAGUGGAGCCCUCCUGGAA